CCUUAAUAGAAGUAUGAUUUUAAUAUAACACGACCAUCCGGCACAACGUGAAGCAAUCGGCUUUUAGCGUGACCACCUUCGCUCUCGUGCACACGCAACGUGGGAUACUCUCGGGAGCGGCUGAGCCUCGGUUGAGUACCAACUGCGCAAGCGGGUACGAGCUAAGCUCGACGAACAUGUAGUCUCACUACUGAGUCAGAUUUUGUCGAAUGAAGUUGGGAAGUGCCGCUCCGAUUUCCGAGAGUUAGUCGCCGUUCAGAACAUCUACUGAGUGAAAAGGAAUUGAAAAAAGUCUAGCCGUUGGAUUUAGAUAACCGUGAAGAAUCGAAGAGAGUGAAACAAAACACAUUUCCAGUUUCAGAAGGUGGGAUUCUCCAAUAGAUAGCGUAUUUCGGAUAGUUACAGGAAGGUGAGUAAACAAUACCCCGAUAUGUCAUCAUUUAUCACUCAGCUUAAAUGGCUGGCAAAAAGGUGUGACUUGUUGAAAGGAAGGUAGAUCUGUGUGGAACUAACACAUUUACAGGUUAGUUGAAGAUUGCCUUUGCCAUUUUGGUGGAGUGUGUCUACCUGCUAUGUCGCUGGCUUAAACUGAUCGCAGUCCAUUCAGAAUGCAGAUAUGAUUGAGCUCCCUUGUCUAUUUUUGAUUUUUCCAAGUCGCUAGUUGGCUCUGAGAGAAGACGUUGACAAAUUACCCUAAAUAUGACGAGAAAGAAGCCAUCUCCACACCUAUUGAGGUCAAACGGUUAGAAAGGCUAGCAUUUUAUUAUCAUUGCCUCACUCCCACUAGUUGGAAAGUAACAUAAAAAAGUCAACAUUGACAGCUUCAACAUAAAUCAUGCGCAAGAUGAAAUUCAACCGGUCCCGUUAUGCUUUAUUCAGGUUCGUUCCCCUGUUUUAGCACUGCACAGUAGAUACGACCACUGCAAUACAAGAUGCAUCAUGAUCAUCGUCCCUUGAUCGCUUUUGUUCUCCUCUAUGUGAAGCAGAAAAACCGCAGUUCCCCUUUUUUCGCGAUCAACGCUUCACAGGCCAAACGUAGAAACACACACCUUUUGUUGUAACCUUUACAACUCGCCGCCGACAUCCGUGGGAGGGAACGACAGUGCUGCCAGCUCGAACUAGCACCAUUGCAUCAAUUGGUGCAAUUGGCUAAUAUGAUUGACGAAUUGACGAAAAAACCGCUUCCUGUUCCAGAAUGAAAGUGUGCAGGUCCACAGUGCGAGUGCGGCAAGAUCAAACGAUGCCCUGUAACUGCCAUCAUAUCUUCAGACCUCGAGUCGGCAAAAAGCAACGACGAAAAAG